ACGCGACCCCAGGUCAGGCGGGACCACCCGCUGAGUUUAAGCAUAUCAAUAAGCGGAG
rnacentral:rRNA from 1 species